rnacentral:rRNA from 1 species
GUAGUCUCGCACAGAUGCAUAUCAAUAAGCGGAGGAAAAGAAACUAACAAGGAUUCCCCUAGUAACGGCGAGUGAAGCGGGAAGAGCUCAAAUUUGAAAUCUUAAAGGGUUUCCCUUUACGAAUUGUAGUUUAAAGAAGUGUUUUCUGUUGAGGUUUUGGUAAAAGUUCUUUGGAAUAGGACAUCAUAGAGGGUGAGAAUCCCGUAUUUGACCUUUACUUUCAACUUUGUGAUACACUUUCAAAGAGUCGGAUUGUUUGGGAAUGCAGUCCAAAAGUGGGUGGUAAAUUUCAUCUAAAGCUAAAUAUUGGCGAGAGACCGAUAGCGAACACGUACCGUGAGGGAAAGAUGAAAAGAACUUUGAAAAGAGAGUUAAACAGUACGUGAAAUUGUCAAAAGGGAAGCGUUUGACACCAGUGUUGUUUUUCUGAAAAUCAAUUAAAGAACUGUUUAUGCUAAGUUGUUUAGACUUUAUCAGCUAACUGUUUAGUUUUGAGCUUUUCUUUAAUGCACUUUUCAGUUAACAAGUCAACAUCAAUUUCUUUUGCUGUAAAAAAGCUUGAGGAAGGUGGACUUGAGAUUCGUCUUAAGUGUUUAUAGCCUCUUGCCUAUGCAGUCGGAGAGAUUGAGGUCUGCAGCGUAGAUCCUUCGGGGCUAAAUGCAUUUGUGCUAAGUUAUAGCAUUUUAUAGACAACUUGUUGACUAUGAUUUGUCUUGUAGCUUACUCGCUUAUGUUAUUUUACCUACGCUUAGGAUGUUGACAGCAGUAUAGACUGU